AUAACCAGAUUCUCCCUACUCUUUGCCCCAUGAAUUCUUCACAAGCCAGUACUUUUCACCAUUUGUGCUCCAUAGCUUACUAUUGUUACUCUGUGAUUGAGGUUUUUUCCACAGUAGCCUGAGAAUACUCCUCCAGAGUAGAACUGGAAACUAAAGCCGCCAGCAUCAACUGCCACUGAUACUGGUUGCUUCGCCACUGCAGCUUCUAGGCUCCUCUCAUCCUUCGCAGGUACUCUUUUGUACCCACUUAUCAUUGCUGUAUGGUGUUUAGUUUUGGCUUUUUUACAUUUACCAUUACUUCCUCCAUAAGGAUAAUCUCUUUCUGUUGUGAGACCACCUAUAUUUUUGAUAUACUGAAACGCUUUUUCCAUGAAUCCACCACUGCAGCCUUGGUUACCUCGUUUGACAUCGCAGUCCACAAGCUCUUUUUCCGACUGAGACACCAGUUUGCCGG
rnacentral:lncRNA from 1 species